rnacentral:piRNA from 1 species
UGCCAAGUGUAUGAGUGAGAAUAGAG